CCCUAACACACACACGCAGCGGCCUGCGGCCAGCGAGGGACUUCCUGUACCGCCAUCAUAGAGCCAAGUCUGCUACAGACGUGUCGUGUGUGUCCGAGGCCUCGGGUAACGCCGACGUAGAGACGAGGCGACAUCAUCGCCAGAGCCUCCGAGCCGCGCAGCACAGCAAGGUAAGAGUGUGAGACGGCGAGUAACCGUCACGCGGCGCCGUCACGGGGGCGUGCUCUUUACGUCCCAGCUCUUUACAUCCAUAAACACAUGAGCAGUGGAUAUAUUAGGC
ensembl:lncRNA